rnacentral:rRNA from 1 species
AGGACGAACGCUGGCGGCGUGCUUAACACAUGCAAGUCAAGGGGGGCCCAGCAAUGGGCAACCGGCGAACGGGUGCGUAACACGUGAGCAACCUACCGAACUGUGGGGGAUAGCCGGCCUAAACGGCCGAGUAAUACCGCAUACGCUCUCAGAGAGGCAUUUCUUUGAGAGGAAACCUCGGGACAGAUCGAGGGGCUCGCGGCCUAUCAGCUAGUUGGCGAGGUAACGCUCACAGGCACGAC